GUUAUCACGGGAGACACACGGCGGGUGCUAACGUCCGUCGUGAAGAGGGAAACAACCCAGACCGCCAGCUAAGGUCCCAAAGUCAUGGUUAAGUGGGAAACGAUGUGGGAAGGCCCAGACAGCCAGGAUGUUGGCUUAGAAGCAGCCAUCAUUUAAAGAAAGCGUAAUAGCUCACUGGUCGAGUCGGCCUGCGCGGAAGAUGUAACGGGGCUAAACCAUGCACCGAAGCUGCGGCAGCGACACUGUGUGUUGUUGGGUAGGGGAGCGUUCUGUAAGCCUGUGAAGGUGUGUCGUGAGGCAUGCUGGAGGUAUCAGAAGUGCGAAUGCUGACAUAAGUAACGAUAAAGCGGGUGAAAAGCCCGCUCGCCGGAAGACCAAGGGUUCCUGUCCAACGUUAAUCGGGGCAGGGUGAGUCGACCCCUAAGGCGAGGCCGAAAGGCGUAGUCGAUGGGAAACGGGUUAAUAUUCCCGUACUUGGUGUUACUGCGAAGGGGGGACGGAGAAGGCUAUGUUGGCCGGGCGACGGUUGUCCCGGUUUAAGCGUGUAGGUGUGUGUUCCAGGUAAAUCCGGUUCACUUUAACACUGAGGCGUGACGACGAGGCACUACGGUGCUGAAGCAACAAAUGCCCUGCUUCCAGGAAAAGCCUCUAAGCAUCAGGUAACAUCAAAUCGUACCCCAAACCGACACAGGUGGUCAGGUAGAGAAUACCAAGGCGCUUGAGAGAACUCGGGUGAAGGAACUAGGCAAAAUGGUGCCGUAACUUCGGGAGAAGGCACGCUGACACGUAGGUGAAGUGAUUUACUCAUGGAGCUGAAGUCAGUCGAAGAUACCAGCUGGCUGCAACUGUUUAUUAAAAACACAGCACUGUGCAAACACGAAAGUGGACGUAUACGGUGUGACGCCUGCCCGGUGCCGGAAGGUUAAUUGAUGGGGUCAGCGCAAGCGAAGCUCCUGAUCGAAGCCCCGGUAAACGGCGGCCGUAACUAUAACGGUCCUAAGGUAGCGAAAUUCCUUGUCGGGUAAGUUCCGACCUGCACGAAUGGCGUAAUGAUGGCCAGGCUGUCUCCACCCGAGACUCAGUGAAAUUGAACUCGCUGUGAAGAUGCAGUGUACCCGCGGCAAGACGGAAAGACCCCGUGAACCUUUACUAUAGCUUGACACUGAACAUUGAGCCUUGAUGUGUAG
rnacentral:rRNA from 1 species